rnacentral:lncRNA from 1 species
CGCUUGGCAAGAUUAUAUUACGAUACACUUCGUUUCACAGAUGGUCUACUUUUGAGAGCGGUAACUAGUGUCUAAUUUACAUAUUUAGGCUGCCUAAAAUCUUUUCAAGAAAGAUCAUGAUCUGAAAAAUGUUUAAAAAGAGUUGUGCAACGUUUAAUGGAUGGAUUGCGUGCCACCAACAAUUGGUGCUUUCUUUUGAUUCGCAUUCUUCAAAGAAUAAUUUCUCAUGAUGUUCGCUUCGUGGACCUUUAACAUUCAUUUCAUUGCACGAAAAUAGAUGUUUGCUUACUAUGAAGAAACUCGAAACAAGAUAAAGGUAAACAGAUUAAUAAAAU